CAUUAAGAAGCUAAAAUGGGAACAGCGUUAGCCUUUUAAGCUAAAAAAUGGUGGCCCCCAACCACCCCUAAUGA
rnacentral:tRNA from 1 species